AGGGAUGUCAGGACCUCUACAGACAAACUAGGUGGAUUUUAUUCAUCCCUAGUUGUCAGGGGUGUGAGGACCUCUACAGACAAACUAGGUAGAUUUUAUUCAUCCCUAGUUGUCAGGGGUGUGAGGACCUCUACAGACAAACUAGGUAGAUUUUAUUGAGCCUAGUUGUCAGGAGUGUCAGGACUUCUACAGACAAACUAGGUAGAUUUUACUCAUCCCUAGUUGUCAGGAGUGUCAGGGGUGUCAGGAACUCUACAGACAAACUAGGUAGAUUUUACUCAUCCCUAGUUGUCAGGAGUUUCAGCAUCUCUAAAAAAAGACUAAUAGAUUUCAUUCAGCAUUAUUUGUGAUAUAAAAAAAAACUUAAGCAAAUUCACAUGCCUAUUUUAUUAAGCAAAUUGAUUACAAUCUGUUUUAGGUUG